GGUUUCUUUAAAAUAAAUAUGUUUUAUAUAUACAUCACAACUAAAUUGAUUAAACAUUCUGGGAAAUAUACAAACCCCUAGCACUAACAGAAUUGAAACCAGGCCAUUGUUCGAUACGGUUAACAAAAAUUUGGCACAUUUAAAAGGAAAAAUAUAAAAAUUAAAACCACACUUCAGACAAAUAAAAGGGACUAAUAAACGUAUUAGGGAAAGGACUCAAGUGUAUAACAGGUACAUGGGACAGUGACGACCAAACUGAAAUAUAUGGUAUAAAUCACUCAGAUCACUUUAUAAAAAUAAAGAAACUUUGACAAACUAAAUUUAUAACCCAACAUUUGUUAACCACUUUAUAUUCUCCCAAAUGCAGAACAUUACGGACCAGGUAACCCAAAAACAAAUUCUAAUAGGAAAUUAUUUGAAUAAAUUCAAAAACUUUAUGGAAAACAUAAUAGCUACAAUAGCAGAUGAAAUUCCAUUUAUACUUGUAGAACAAAUUUCCCAAAUUAAUUAUGACAUAUCACUUUUACGAAACAAUGUCGAUGAGAUUGGACAGAUAAUAUUUUCCACUGAACUUUUAAUAAUUCCUACGGACAUUCUAACAAAUACAUCUUAAUUUGAUAACAAUUUCGACAGUUAUACAAAUAUCAAAGUUGCCGUUGCCUUAAAUAAAAACAAUAUAGUAAUAAUCUUCCAAAUCCCACAAUAUUCAAAGUAAAAUCGAUUUCGAACUUGCGUGGUACAAUCAAGUUCAAAACUUCCACCACUUAAGCUUUCUACGUUUAAUGGCAAGUAUCCGAAUUAUCAAAAUUUUAUCACCUCGUUCAAGCAAAUAAUUAAUCGUAAGUUCAAUUUUAAUAAUAUUGAAAACUUCAACCAUUUGCGAAAUUAUCUCCAAGGUCAAGCCUUAGAAACUGUAAAUACAUUCCAAGUGACAAAUAAAAACUAUCCGAAGGCGUUAGAACGGUUGAAGGUACGGUAUGACAAAAAAACACAAAUUUUUUUGGAAGGAAUAAAUUCGUUAUUUGAUUUACCAGCAGUUAUGAAACCAAAUGGCAUUCAGUUAAGAAGUUUAAUUAAUAAGACUUCAGCUAUUUAUGGUUCCAUGACAUCGCUAUAUUCAUUUAAUUUUGCAGAAGUCUAAUGAACAAACCAACAAAAAGUGGAAGGAGUCGCUAGAUUUCAGAACGCUGCCGUCAUGGGAGGAUUGCACCAUAGUUUUAGAAAGACACUGCCAAUACCUGGAGUCACUGGACAACACGCAUUUUAGUACUUCGUCAACUCAAGGUGCUCGAAAUCAAGAAAUCAACCACGAGGCUAUACAUUUUUCUGCUCCAACAUAACGUGUACUUUCUGUUCCAGUAACAACCAUCAGGUUUUUAAUUGCGAACGCUUUAAGUCACUAAACAUUACUCUGCGUUUCAAUCAUGCAAAGAAAAUUGGACUUUGCAUCAAUUGCCUAUCAAAGGGACAUCGUGUAACCAAUUGUCCAUCAUCACACAGGUGCAAGGUUUGUGCACGGCAGCACCACAGUUUACUCCCCCGCGGUUCUACUUCAGGCCAACAAACACCUACUCAGGUAUUUACAAAACAAGAGGUCACAGUCACGCAUAUACACAGGAGUUAUUCAUCGUUCAAUAACGUCAUCUUUGCAACAGCAAAAAUUUUCAUUCGUGAUGCAGCGGAGAGCUACAGAUUGGGUACAGCACCGCUAGAUUCCUGUUCACAGGUUUGCACUCACUGCCGACAUAGUCAAGAUGAAUCGCCAAGUAUUAAUACACGAAGAUGAUCGAAAGUUCCAGUACAUUCUGUGGAGGAGUUCACCAACUGAAGAUAUUCGCACGUAUCAACUAAAUACUCUGAGCAGCAUUCAGAACAAUUUACAAUUGACGCAAAAAUCGUGAUGUCACCACUCUACACAGUCGACCUACUCUGUGGUGCUGAUUCUCUAACCGAACUUGUACAUAUAAAGCAAGAGGUAAUACAACUGUUAGAAUUAGGACAGUUUAAAUUAACAACGUGUCAUUCCAAAUACCAUCAAUUCAGAGAAGACGACUCUAUAAAGGAUCUAAACGUAGGUACAUCCAUCACUAGUACACUUGGACUAAAAUGGAACCAAAAUCUUGAUUGUUUUAUUUUUUCAUUUGAAGCAAAACUAAAACUGACUGGCCGACUUACAAAACAUUCCAUCCUUUUUGUUGCAUCAUCACUUUACGACGCACUUGGUCUUUUAGUUUCUGUUAUUAUAACAUUAAAAAUUUUUUUGCAAAAAAUAUAGUUACUAAAGUUGGAUUGGGAUGAAUCUGUGCACAGAAAAUUUGCUUGAAAAAAGUUUCUUAGCUGCUUAUCGGAUCUUUCAAUAAUUAAAGUACCGAGGCACUGUUUUUUGACAGAUGUGGAAUCUCUUCAGAUACAUGGAUUUUGUGACGCAUCGAUUCGUACAUAUGCCUGCGCAAUAUAAACUCGCGUUAUCAACAAAUGUGGCACUACUACUACCAUUCGCCUACUCACUGCGAAGUCCAGAGUGGCACCUACCAAAAAACAAUCGUUACCCAAAUUAGAACUUUGAGGCGCUCUUCUUCUUGCUCGUCUUUUAGCAAAAAUCAAACCAACAAUUUCUAACAAAUAUUUUAACAUUUUUCUUUGGACAGACUCACAAAUAGUAUUACAUUGGCUUAAGGUGCAUUCUGCAACACUUUCGACUUUUUUGGUAAUCGAAUUUCGGAAAUUCAAGAUUUAACCAAAGGCGCCCAUUGGAGACAUGUACCAACGCAUUGUAACCUGGCGGAUACUGCCUCUAGAGGAUGUACUGUAAACGAACUUGUUAAUUCAAUAUGGUACACCGGACCAAACUUUCUAUACGAAAACUCUGAUAAAUGGCCAAAGAACAGCUGCGACGAUAUCGACAUGGAAAUUGUCAAUAGGGAGAAACGAAAAUCAUUAUUCAAUACAAUUGUUAGCACCAAUUAUAUUUUGGAAACUGUGAAUCUACACCAGCAACCUUCAAUUAAUAGCUUGGAUGUUCCGCUUCAUCAAUAAAUUUCGACAUGAAAGAGCUUACGAUAAAUGGCCCCUUACGUUAUUUAAAUCCUUUUCUCGAGUAUACCUAAGGAUUUCAAAAACUCAAAGUUGGGGUUCGAUUGGAAUCAGCAGAUAUUCGAGAAGAAAGGAAAUACAAGAAACAUUGUGUAUUACGUUCACCAUCUACAUCGGAAGCACUACCAAGCAGGACCAAAGGCACUCGUAGCACUGAUAAGACUUCAGAUUUGGAUAGUCAAUGCGCGCGAUUUAGCAAGACGCAUCGUCAGAUCAUGCACCCAUUGUAUACGUUACAAGCCGAAGCUGAUGAACCAAGUAAUGGGACAGUUACCUGUCGAGCGAUUAACUCCAUAUCGCCCUUUUGCGCGAUGCGGAAUUGAUUUCUGCGGGCCAGUCAACGUAUAUUUGCCUAUUCGAGGCAAAACACCUUAUAAAGCGUACAUUGGGAUCUUGGUUUGUCUAGCGACAAAGGCGGUUCACAACGAACUAGUAUCGGAUCUAUCCACGGACGCAUUCUUAGCGUCAUUGAAGCACAUGAUUGGAAGAAGAGGUCUACCCUUUGACAUCUUUUACGAUAACGCAACAAAUUUUGUGGGUGCUUGCAACAAACUAGCUGAAUUAAAGUCAUUUUUGUUUAAAACCGAAAACAAAGAUGCAAUCAAAAAAUAUUAUGCUAAUCUUAAUAUAUAUAAAUCUCGUGUCACAAUGUUUGUCCUCAAUGGACUCCUAAACCACUUAACCGAUUAUAAUAAAAUUCGCACACCAUGUGCAGUUCGAUCCAACUUGAGAGAUAGGAUAGUUUGAAUCUCAAAUUAUAGUCGCAAUUUUAAUUUAUUGCUAAUUAUUUGUCUGUUAUUAUUUGACAGUCACAAUUAUCUGUUAACUCCAAAUGAUUCUAACAAAUGUCGAUUCCUUUCGACUGGGUUGAGUAAGUAAUUAAUAGAUGGCGCUGCUAUGGUAAAUCUACGAACGUGUCAUAUAAGCUACAUUUUAACAGCAUAAUUACAUUACGUGUUACAUAAUUAAAGAUUUAAACAGCAAUAAUAAACUUUUCGGUGGUGCUAUCUUACUUUUGUCUGGUGACUUCCGCAGACCUUACCGGUUAUACCUCGCUCUACUUUCGCGGAUGAGAUUAAUGCAUGUUUGAAACAAUCAUUCUUAUGGCGAAGUGUUGAAACACUUCGAUUGACCAUAAAUAUGCGAGUACAAUUGCAAAAUGAUCCAUCAGCACAAAUAUUUUCCAAACAACUACUAGAUAUUGGGAAUGGUAAAAUAGAACUGCAACCAAAUACGCAAUGCAUUAAACUACCAGACAAUUUUUGCACUGUUGUUCAGGAUAAAAAUUAAUUGAUUCAGAGUAUUUUCCCGAAUAUACAGAAUAAUUAUUUGAAUCAUGAAUGGCUUAGUCAACGGGCGAUUUUGGCAGCCAAAAACGUUGAUGUUGACGAAAUUAACUUCCAGAUACAACAGUUGUUACCAGGCGAUCUGGCGUAAAUUUUCCGAUUGAAUUUUUAAAUUCAUUAGAUAUCCCUGGAAUGCCACCACAUAAUCUUCGAUUAAAGAUUGGUUCCCCUAUUAUUCUCCUUCGUAAUUUGAAUCCACCUCAAUUAUGUAACGGUACGCGUUUGGUCAUCAAAAAGAUCACCGGAAACAUUCUUGAAGCAACCAUUUUGGCUGAGAAGUUUAAAGGAAAAGUGGUCCCGCUGCCACGUAUUCCGAUGAUACCAUUAGACUCUACCAUACUCUUCAAAAGGCUACAGUUUCCAAUUCGUUUAGCUUUCGCCAUGUCUAUCAAUAAAUCUCAAGGUCAAACAAUGUCCAUUUGUGGUUUAGAUUUGGAAAAUCCAUGUUUUUCUCAUGGGCAACUAAAUGUUGCGUGUUCACGUGUUGGGAAACCGUCGAAUCUAUUUGUGUUAGCUAAAGACAGGUUAACCAAAAACAUUGUGCACCGAUUGGUGUUAAAUUAAAUUGAAAUUGAAAGUAUUUAUAAUUCAACAAAAUAGAUAUUAAUGUUUAAAAGUUUAAGACUGUCUGCCUUGCCUACCUCAUUCAUGAGUUUAAGCGUCACAUGUUAUUUCCUGUAUUAUACUGUAAUAUACUUAUUUGUUAUAAAAUUAAAUGGAAAUAAUAAAUCUGAUAAAUUUUUACUUUGUAUGGAUUUCUGCUUAAUAUCAAGUGUAAGAACAUUUUAAUUAAUUGUGUUCAACGUACUUCCCCUUUAAAUCUCAAUCCAGUGAAUUUGUAUA